AUAAGAUAUUGAAGAGAACGAGAGGGAAAAUAGCGGACCGUAUGCUGUACAUUUGUUCAUAAAUCUGAUCCCCUUACAGAUCAUGUUGGUCUACCAGUGAGAGUUCCAUCCAUGGCUGGAAAGAUGAGGACAGUUGUCCUUAUCCUGAGCUUCCUCCCAAGUGUAUGCCAGGGAGUGGUCGUCACACAGACUCCGAAUUUUCUGUUAGUGAUGGAGGGAUCACCAGCAAAUAUGACUUGUAGCCAAGAUGCCAACAAUGUAAACAUGUUCUGGUACCAACAGAAACCAGGAGAAGGACUAAAGCUUAUGACCUGGUCAACGGAAGCUGAUAAAAAGCAGACAAUGGAACCAGACUUUCAAUCAGGCUGGGAGCUAGAGAGAAAUGACAUUGAGAAUUCAGUUCUACACCUUGAAUCUGCCGGAAUACAGAACUCGGCUGUGUAUUUCUGUGCAUCGAGUGCCACAGAAUGA